rnacentral:rRNA from 1 species
AGCGAACGCUGGCGGCAGGCCUAACACAUGCAAGUCGAACGCACCUUCGGGUGAGUGGCGGACGGGUGAGUAACACGUGGGAACGUACCCUUAGGUUCGGAAUAACGCAGGGAAACUUGCGCUAAUACCGAAUGUGCCCUUCGGGGAAGGAUUUAUCGCCUUUAGUAGCGGCCCGCGUUAGAUUAGCUAGUUGGUGGGGUAAGUGGCUCACCAAGGCUACGAUCUAUAGCUGGUCUGAGAGGAUGAUCAGCCACACUGGGACUGAGACACGGCCCAAACUACCUACGGGAGGCAGCAGUGGGGAAGUCUUGCGCAAUGGGCGAAAGCCUGACGCAGCAACGCCGCGUGAGGGAUGAAGGCUCUCGGGUUGUAAACCUACUUUCAGCAGGAACGAAAAUAGACGGUACCUGCAGAAGAAGCUCCGGCCAACUACGUGCCAGCAGCCGCUGUAAU